AGCAUAUCUGUACGUGUGGUAGUUGCUCAAGCGCGUGCGCUUUGGUUAGGAGCCAUGCGUGCACCGCUCGCCUUGCUGCUGCUGGCCAUUGUUGUGUGCCGGCACAUAGCAGCGGGUAAUGCCGCUGAUGCUGUCUCAUCACCCGUCAUACUUCCUAGGGGCAGAAGCAACACCAAGGUCACACUCUACGUGCGCACCGGACGGGUCUCCAUCCCGCUCGAGUGGAUCGAUGGGAAAGAGGUUUUCUUCGAGUACACGGGACGCUUAUAUGAAGUGGGCAACAGCGGGCCCAUGCUUCCCGGCCCCACGCUGAAGGUCAACCCUGGCGGUAGAAUUGUCUUGAAACUAGUGAACGACCUGGGAAAGGAGGGGAUGGCCAACAUGACAGGUCGGAUGAACACGCUCCACGGUCCUAACAUCACGAACGUGCACUUCCACGGCAUGCACAGCGAUCCUAAAAUGGACAAUCCUUUCAAAGUUGCACUCCCGGGCGAGACGCUGGUGUACACGAUCAAUGUUCCGCGCGAUCACGAGCCGGGCCUUCACUGGUAUCAUGCGCACUCCCACGGUGCCGUCUACUAUCACGUGAUGGGUGGGAUGUUCGGGGCCAUCGAUGUGGGGGAAGGCGACUUUACAAAGACCCCAAGGCACCCCUUUCAUGGCUGGGACUCGCAGAUUCUCAUGGUGCACCUGUAUCGCCUUAACACCUCGGAAAGGUGCGACGGGAUGCCGAUGUCAAGCCUUGACGCCGCGAUGAGCUCCCUCCUCCCAUUCGAUCCGCGUAUUGUGGACCGCAAGGGCAACGAGUACGAGAUGCCGGCCGAGCUGUUUCUCGUGAACGGCCAGCAUCGCCCGACCGUGAGGGUCAAGCGUGGCCAUCCGAUGCUGCUGCGCAUCGGGUUUGCGGCAGGCUCGUGCUACAUAAAUAUGUCGCUCCCCAAGCAGUGCGCCUUCCACAUGACAGCCAUCGAUGGCGCGCAGCUGCCCCGCACUGUCGAGGUGGUGGAGGGCUGGCUGUACUUCACGACGGCAACGCGACGCAGUCUGGUCGUGGUGUGCGACGAGGAGGGGACGUAUCCGGUGUCCCACACUGGCGACCCCUCAGACGCCAUCUUCUACUUGAAGUCGAGAGGGAAGCACCAGAAGGGUGGUCGCGCUGUAGCCUUCCCCGUGACCAUGCACAAGUACUCCCCUGGCUACUUGCAGCUCAAAGGUCAAAACACUUUCUACCGCGAGAUCUCGUUCUCGCAGCGGGACCUGCCCAUCACAAAGCCGUACUAUGUCCUCGGUCAGGGGCCGAACUGUCAAUCGCUGCAGAAUUCGUCGACGUGCCACUAUGAGUACUUCCAAGGCGAGAUCGGCAGGCGCAUCGAGGGCUAUCACGGCUUCACAGUGCCGCUGCAUGCGGUUGUGACGGCGCGCGUGUACGGUGAUCCGACCGACAAGCGACCGCAUCCCCUUCACUUUCACGUCAACCACUUCCAGUUUCUCUCCUUCGAGCCCCGCCCCGGGGGCAAUCACGAAAACGAGACCAUGGCCAUGUACGGCGUACACAGCGGCGAGUUCCGUGACACGAUUCCGAUCUUGGACGGCGUCACCACCAUCCGCUGGAAGGCGGCAACGUACGUUGGCGAGGUGGUGUACCACUGUCAUGCCCUCCAACACGAGGACCGCGGCAUGAUGAUGUCCUAUCUGGUCUACUCCCCACGGAGCAAGGAGGGCAAGGCCGUGCAGCGAUACGAGCAGUCGCAGACCGGCGCGUUCCUCUUGACCUGGCCGCACCGCUCACACGCGUAUAGCCUUCUCUGUGUGUUCCUCCUCGCCUCCGCAGCAGUUGCAGCGUGGGGGUACUUGCGACACCGAGACAUGCGCUGCUCUGCCGACGCUCAAAGUGCCUUCGAUGCACGAUCAUACGCCGGAACGCCAGGGGAACGCAUUCCCCUUCUCGAGCGCCACGCGUGAAGGCACAUUUGAGAAAAAGGUGGCCCCGCUAGUACACUGUAUUACCCUCUUCCGCUUCCCUCCCCUCUCUGUAGGAAGCGUGCUUGUGUGCGUGUGGACAUGAUGCAGUGCAUGCGUAAUACAUAGACACUGUCGAUCUCACACAGCCGCAGAAGGUGGCGGUUCACGUACACGCAGCCGACGCCUCUUUCCCUGAUUCUGUACCCUUUUCCCGUCUCUCCCUUUGUUGCUUUUCCUGUGUGUGUGUGUGUGUGUGUGUGUGUGUGCUGUCUUCUUUUGAUAUUGUUUCCUCUUUGGAUUUCGCGAGUGCGCUUGUGCGUCUUCUCUCGUGCGCGUGUCGCGAAACUGCUCUCUUUCCGUUUUCUUCUCUCUUGUGUUGCAUUCACGUCUCUGUAAAAUUGUCUGCAGCUGUGAGGCGGCGCUUCUCCUGCCAUCGCUCUUCCUCCUCUCUCGUCAUCUGCCGUCGCCCCUACACCGACUGUCUCUUUUGAGUGCCGUGUUGCCAAGGCAUCGUUCUCAACACGGUACACAUCCACGGAGAGCGUGCCUACGCUUCAGCAGUUGAGGGGUAGGCGGGGCGAGAGAAAGAGCGAGGCGGAGAGCACGGGGGCACGCAAAGAUGAUUGGUCGCCUCGGCAGGCAUGAGGGGCGCGGAGCUGUGUCGGUGCGCCGGUGUUGGACGACGCCAGGUCGCGAAGAAAUGAGCAUCAGCAAGGCAAAUGAAAGGGAAACGAAACAGCGCACAUGAUGUCUAGCGAAAGCAUGACGGGGACGGGCGGACGCUUGCACUCCUUGUUGAGCGAAGCGACGGACAUUGAGGCGAUGAGAGGGAGAGAAGCGGCUGGCCGAAGUGGUGGCAUGGCCAGUCUUGCCUUUCAGCGUGAAGGCAUGCGCACACUCACUGGGGGUGCACCUUGCAAACGGUCUCUCUCUCGUGCUCCGCCCUCUUCUUGCCUCUGGGCUCUGCGCACGAGUGAACGCUCAUCGAGCUGACGAUGCAUAAAGCACUGAAAAUGCGCGCCAUCCUUCAAAGCCGGAGAGAGAGAGAGAGCGAGAUGGGAGGGUGGCGUCACCGUGUAUGUGCUGCCUUCGUGUGUAUUGGAGCUUGAAGAGGUACCCCGAGGCGUGAACUCUCGUACUCCCCACUCCUCUUCCGCUUCUCGGCAACGAGCACUGCUGCACGUGCGUUUAAGCAUGCUACCCCUACAUCCGUCGCUGUGUUCCCCUUAUUCCUCGGCUAUCGCCUUCGUUCAG
rnacentral:misc_RNA from 1 species